UGAGGGUGCAAGCGUUAAUCGGAAUUACUGGGCGUAAAGCGAGUGUAGGCGGCUUCGUAAGUCGGAUGUGAAAGCCCCGGGCUUAACCUGGGAAUUGCAUUCGAUACUGCGCGGCUAGAGUCUGAUAGAGGGAAGUGGAAUUCCAGGUGUAGCGGUGAAAUGCGUAGAUAUCUGGAGGAACAUCAGUGGCGAAGGCGGCUUCCUGGAUCAAGACUGACGCUGAGGCUCGAAAGCGUGGGGGGAGCAAACAGGAUUAGAUACCCUGGUAGUCCACGCCCCUAAACGAUGUCAACUAGACGUUGGGCUCAUUAAGGAGCUUAGUGUCGAAGCUAACGCGUUAAGUUGACCCGCCUGGGGAGUACGGCCGCAAGGUUGA
rnacentral:rRNA from 1 species